rnacentral:rRNA from 1 species
CUCAGAUUGAACGCUGGCGGCAUGCCUUACACAUGCAAGUCGGACGGCAGCGCGGGGGCAACCUGGCGGCGAGUGGCGAAAACGGGUGAGUAAUACAUCGGAACGUGUCCUGAGUGGGGGAUAGCCCGGCGAAAGCCGGAUUAAUACCGCAUACGCUCUAUGGAGGAAAGCGGGGGAUCUUCGGACCUCGCGCUCAAGGAGCGGCCGAUGGCGGAUUAGCUAGUUGGUGGGGUAAAGGCCCACCAAGGCGACGAUCCGUAGCUGGUCUGAGAGGACGACCAGCCACACUGGGACUGAGACACGGCCCAGACUCCUACGGGAGGCAGCAGUGGGGAAUUUUGGACAAUGGGGCAACCCUGAUCCAGCAAUGCCGCGUGUGUGAAGAAGGCCUUCGGGUUGUAAAGCACUUUUGUCCGGAAAGAAAACUUCGUCCCUAAUAUGGAUGGAGGAUGACGGUACCGGAAGAAUAAGCACCGGCUAACUACGUGCCAGCAGCCGCGGUAA